rnacentral:rRNA from 1 species
CACUUGCCUUCGACUCUUCGAAGUACCGGCCUAAUUAAUCACCUCGGUCGCCGUGACAACGCUGGGGCGAAUCCAACCCAACCCGACCCAACCCAAGGACCUUGUGCGCACUGUCUCUGGCCCGUCACGGGGCAUGGGAGGGGCAGGGAGGCGGAGCCUUAAGAAAUGGGAAAGGGCCGCUAAGUAUACGGCGCGGAAACGCCUCGUCGUUUCUAGUCCCUCCCCUAGGCAGGUACCUUACCUACUAGUUGUGCGAAAUCCGGCCCGUGCCCAGUUAAUUGAUUCACCGUACGCGCAGUGCAAGAGCGGAGGGAGGGGAGGGUAGGGUACUAAUCCUACUACGAAUCCCGCUCCAUGAUCAUGUUCAUCUCCCUCCUGACGAACCCCACCAUCCGUCGACCUCUGACGCCUUAACAACCGCCGGCCCGAGGGCACAGGCUCUCCUUGGGGAAAAAGAGGACCGUAAUAGGCGACUCUUCAGACUCUAUUAAUCUCCAGCGAUGAUCUAACUAACUAACCCAACUAGCUAUUCCCGUCCAUUUCGAGAAACUAACUAGGCAGGGAACCCAGAGAGGGUUUCACGCCAUAUAUAGGCAGGCAGUUCGAAGUUCGGCCGGCCGGAACUCAACGAUCGAUUGAGACGCUCCCACCAAACCAGGCCAGUCCACACGCACGCACGCACGAGCGGCCGCUACCCAAGAACGCACAGCUGGUGCUCCGCCGCCGCCUCCAGGAGGUCCUUCGACAGCCGGUGCCGCUGGUUCAAGGCGGCGUUCCACAGGCGGCGCUAGCGGCCGCUGCGCCGGCCGGCGAAGCGGCGCGCGGUGCCCCAGCAGGCGCAGCUGCCGCGCGGCGGCCGGAGCCCGCAGUGCGAGGUGGAGUGCGUCGACGUCACCGUCGUGUCGGUCUACCUGCGUCCCUUACACUAGACGCUGCUCCGCACCAUGCUGAGGCAGUCGUACGACCCUCUGAGCCGGCCGAGGCUGCUGCUGCUGUUGCUAAUGAGGUCGCAGUCACCUCUAGGAGAGGGCCUCCUGCGGCGGCCGCCGUGCUCGCGCAGCGGCACGUUCCUGCGCCGCACGGACCGCCUGCGGCACGUCGCGGAGGCCUCGUAGCGCCUGCGCCUCCGCACGGUCCCGCUGGGGGGCCCCUUUUCGCUCCUGGGGCUGCGACGAGGACGAGGACCAGUACGGCGACGGCCACCGGACUUUCUUGGCGUCUCGCGCCGCAGGACGAGCGGAGCCGGAGAGGGCCCGAGGCAGGGCUCGGUGUUCCACGUCGGCUACGGCCAGCGGCCCAAGUCGGGCGUGGUGGUCUCCUUCUUUAGCCGGCAGCAGUCCGAGAGGAAGGCCUCCUCCAGCAUGCUCCCGCUACUCUACUGGCUUUACUGACCGAGCCGGUUCAUGGACAUGGCCGGCUCUCGCCCGGACUGCGACGGCACACGCCGGCCGCUCUUCGGCAGCCUCCCGACGACCAGCCAGGAGCUCGGCAGCCACAAGUCCCAGUCUCCCCUCCCAAAGAAGUCUCUGUUCUCCUUUAGGGGUCGGGGUUUGACGAGGGGGAUGUGGGGCUAGCCUCGACUGUACAAACGGACGGGUUCCUUCCACGUGGUGUAACGCGUCGUGUAGCGCGAGGGCAGCGAGUUCGGGGUGCUGAGGAAGGGAAGCGAGGAGUAACAGUUGUAAGUCAACGGAUGGAUGGGAUGAUGGUACAAGCCGCUCUUGCUGCCGCUGCCCCAAUCGGACCAGGACAUAAAGUUCUAUAGGCUAUCGAAGCUGUUCCUCUAGAGAGGAGUCGAGUUCCUGUCGUAGUUCUCACAAUACUUGCUCCUUUACCUCUUCCAGUUCCCCAAGGGCCACCUGUCGUUGCACGGGAUGUGUCUCUCCGACUUUUAGGACCGGCCGUAACAUUUGGGACUUCUGGACGUCGAGUCGCGCCGGCUCUCCUCCGAACACGUCUGGAUGUUGGUCUUCGGGCACGACAGAUCCGGGGUCGUGUUUAAGAUGUUCCCGAGCUUGAUGAAGCUCUAGCUGUAGCUGCACGUGGCCAAGUCGAUGUAUAGCGCCUUCCCGGAACUCUGGAAGGCUCUCGCCGACUUUGUACCACAGUAGCUAGAACCCGACUGGUAAGUCCGUGUCUUCCGACUCCUCGAUGGACUCGUACACAACACGACGUACUCCGACUUGUUCAACCUAAAACGCCUGUUGCCCGUUUAUGGCUGCGAGUAUUGGAGGUCGCUACUUACUUCGACCUUUUACAUGACUGAAACUCUCACUCUCUCUGUUCGACAUAUAUCGCCCUCUAUCUCCAUCCUUGAUUGCGUUUAAACAACCCAUUGCCACAUAACUAGCACGUUUAUUAGAACACGUGGCUUAACGUUAACCUCGUCAAGACGACAGAUUUCAACAAGUCUACAAGCUUAUCGGACGUACGGAAAAAGUCUUGUACCUUUACGCUCUAACGGGUUCAACGGUUUCAGCGUAACAUGUAUUAGAACACGUGGCUUUUAACGGGGGUUUUUUCAAGUUGCGUACUUUUCCUUCUCCUCCG